rnacentral:rRNA from 1 species
CCUACGGGAGGCAGCAGUGAGGAAUAUUGGUCAAUGGGCGUAAGCCUGAACCAGCCAAGUCGCGUGAGUGUUGAAGGUUCUAUGGAUCGUAAACCUCUUUUAUAAGGAGAUAAAUUGUGGGACGUGUCCUAUUUUGUAUGUACCUUAUGAAUAAGGAUCGGCUAGCUCCGUGCCAGCAGCCGCGGUCAUACGGAGGCUCCGAGCGUUAUCCGGAUUUAUUGGGUUUAAAGGGUGAGUAGGCGGCCUGUUAAGUCAGCGGUGAAAGUCUGUGGCGCAACCAUAGAAUUGCCGUUGACAAUGGGGUGCUUGUGUAUGUGUGAGGCAGGCGGAAUUCGUGGUGUAGCGGUGAAAUGCUUAGAGAUCACGCAGAACCCCGAUUGCGAAGGCAGCCUGCCAAGCCAUGACUGACGCUGAUGCACGAAAGCGUGGGGAUCAAACAGGAGUAGAUACCCUAGUAGGC